UGAGGAAUAUUGGUCAAUGGGGGCAACCCUGAACCAGCGACGCCGCGUGGGCGACGAAGGUCUUCGGAUCGUAAAGCCCUUUUCUAGGUGACGAGCAAGGACGGUAGCCUAGGAAUAAGCCUCGGCUAACUACGUGCCAGCAGCCGCGGUAAAACGUAGGAGGCGAGCGUUAUCCGGAGUUACUGGGCGUAAAGCGUCUGUAGGCGGUUGGACAAGUUGCGUGUGAAAGCGCCCGGCUAAACUGGGCGAGGACACGUAAGACUGUUCGGCUAGAGGGUGGUAGAGGGGUGCAGAAUUCCGGGUGUAGCGGUGAAAUGUGUAGAGAUCCGGAGGAAUACCAGUGGCGCAAGCGGCACCCUGGGCCAUACCUGACGCUGAGAGACGAAAGCGUGGGGAGCGAACGGG
rnacentral:rRNA from 1 species